UACGUAGGGGGCAAGCGUUGUCCGGAUUUAUUGGGCGUAAAGAGCGUGUAGGCGGUUUGGUAGGUCCGCUGUGAAAUCUCCAGGCUCAACCUGGAGGGGUCAUUCGAUACUGCCGUGACUAGAGUUCGGUAGGGGAGUGUGGAAUUCCUGGUGGAGCGGUGAAAUGCGCAGAUAUCAGGAGGAACACCCGUAGCGAAGGCGGCACUCUGGGCCGAUACUGACACUGAGGAGCGAAAGCGUGGGGAGCGAACAGG
rnacentral:rRNA from 1 species